CGUGGACUGAGCCUGGCUUCCCCGUCGCUGGGAUCUGGGGCGUCUCCGGUGCUAUCUUUAAAGAACACAAGUGAAAGGGGACGUGGGUGUGACCUAUAGCGUUGUCUCCGAGGGGGACAAUAAAGUUUAAGAAGUUUGAAAAGGGGUGUGGCCGGAGCUCGGCGAGGCGCCUGGAGACCGGGUUCGCGACAUGGGGGUCACCGUGGACGUUCACCAGGUGUUCCAGUACCCCUUCGAGCAGGUGGUCGCUUGCUUCCUCCGAAAGAAUCCACACAGAGCUGCCCUGAGACCUAGCCAUUAUCACACAGCCUGUGGGGAGCAGUCAAGAAACAAACUGUAACUGUCCUUUGGGGAAGGAUUGUCGUCAUGAGAAGGAGAUUCCUGCCUUCUCAGAAUGUGAGGGACACUUUGUCUAGGCCUCACGGACCGUCUGGAAGGUCAGAGUAUCCCAACCCCAUGGAUAAUAAUGUCAUCGCUGUAAAAACUGUGGAAGAAAAGAAAGAUGAAUCAACAGGACUCAUCUAUAGAAAGAGGAUUGCUAUCUGUCAGAAUGUGGUGCCAGAAAUUUUAAGAAAGGUGAGUAUUCUAAAAGUACCUGAUAUCCGACUAGAAGAGGAAUCAUGGCUCAGUCUUCAGAAGAGGAACAUGGCUAUCCAGAGUCACUGCCUCACAUGGACACAGUAUGCAUCCAUGAGGGAAGAGUCUGUCUUCCGGGAAAGUGUGGAAAACCCGAAUUGGACAGAGUUUAUUCAAAGAGGCAGAAUUUCAAUCACAGGGGCUGGAUUUUUCAACUGUAUUUUGGAAACUUUUGCUAGUGCAUUCUUAAGACAGGGAGCCCAGAAGGGAAUUAGGAUAAUGGAGAUGCUGCUAAAGGAACAGUGUGGUGCUCCCUUAGUGGAAUAAAAAUCACCAUCUAGAAACGAAUCCCCAAGACCAGAAUGCGAAAUUCUCCCAAAUAUGCAGCUUUCUGAAUGCGGACCUAAAGUGUGGUGUGACAAACUUUAUGCCUGACCUAUUUGGUUGGUGGCAGUCCAAACAAGGGAAGCUGCUGUUGUGUUUACUCUUUUUUUUUUUUCUCCCAAUCACUUCUUGGCUGCGGCUUCAUAGGCAAAAUUACUGGAUGCAGUUUCAGGACACAGACUCAGUGACUUAGAGAAGAGGAGCCUUUCCCGCAGGAACAUGGACUGACACUCCACUUUGGAGCCUGCUUCAAGUCAGGGGACUCAUGGAGAUGAGACCUUUCUAGCUGGAAUUUUAUGGCAUGAUCUCUUUACAAUCUUACGAAUAAAAGGAAGGAACAUAUCAGAUGA